GUGGGAGGAAGCUCAUUGUAGAGGUCACAAACUGAGUGCUCGUCACUCUACCAAUCACCUCGGGGAAGGUCUGAGACAGGAGCCAAUAGUUACCCUUGCAGGGUAUCACCUGACAAAGGUGAGCGAGUGAACAGAAAUAAUUGGUCUGCGCUUGCAUGUCUCACAGGAGAAGCCAGGGGGAGCAACUUCCCAGCUCGCCUGGUGGAUGUGGUGCUAGUCGCGGCUUGGAAUCACUCGCGGCUGGCGAAUGAGUGCGAUGUAUGAGGUGGGGCACAGCUCCAGAACCCAAUUCAGACUACUCUCCCCCCAC
ensembl:ribozyme RNaseP_nuc Nuclear RNase P